rnacentral:rRNA from 1 species
UUGAAAAGAACUUUGAAGAGAGAGUUCAAGUACGUGAAGGGGUAAACCUAAGAAACUCAAAAGAUCGAACGAGGAGAUUCAUCGUCAGCGGCGCUGGCUUCGCGUCGGUGGGCGAUGUCCCGCGGAGUCCUCGCGGCUCGCGCGCAGGCACGCUACCGUACGCCGAUGUCCGGCUGUCGUCGUCGUGCACUUCUCCCCAAGUAGAACGUCGCGACCCGCUGGGUGUCGGUCUACGGCCCGGGGCGUUGACUGUCGCGUCGCCGGUAAAACGGCACGCGACAAACCCUCGGUCGCCCGGCCGGCUGCUCGGCGGUACGCGCAAGGUAUCAGGCCGCACUUCUACACGGUGCGUCGAGGCCGUCGCAAGCGCGCGCCACGGUACUCGGAGGUUACGGACUUUGCACCGUCCCGGGUCCUGGCCCGCUGUUGAUUAAAGUACGGAUCACCUUCGUUUGCGGCUUUCUCGCGAGGCAAUCGUCUCCCUCGAGUCGUCACGAAGCCCUGACGAGUAGGAGGGUCGCGACGGUGAGCGCAGAAGGGUCU